rnacentral:rRNA from 1 species
UGGGGAAUAUUGCACAAUGGGGGGAACCCUGAUGCAGCCAUGCCGCGUGAAUGAAGAAGGCCUUCGGGUUGUAAAGUUCUUUCGGUGACGAGGAAGGUUGAUAGGUUAAUAGCCUAUCAAAUUGACGUUAAUCACAGAAGAAGCACCGGCUAACUCCGUGCCAGCAGCCGCGGUAAUGCGGGGGGUGCGAGCGUUAAUCGGAAUAACUGGGCGUAAAGGGCACGCAGGCGGUGACUUAAGUGAGAUGUGAAAGCCCCGAGCUUAACUUGGGAAUUGCAUUUCAUACUGGGUCGCUAGAGUACUUUAGGGAGGGGUAGAAUUCCACGUGUAGCGGUGAAAUGCGUAGAGAUGUGGAGGAAUACCGAAGGCGAAGGCAGCCCCUUGGGAAUGUACUGACGCUCAUGUGCGAAAGCGUGGGGAGCAAACAGGAUUAGAUACCCUGGUAGUCCACGCUGUAAACGAUGUCGAUUUGGGGAUUGGGCUUUGAGCUUGGUGCCCGUAGCUAACGUGAUAAAUCGACCGCCUGGGGAGUACGGCCGCAAGGUUA